rnacentral:rRNA from 1 species
UGGGGAAUAUUGGACAAUGGGCGCAAGCCUGAUCCAGCAAUGCCGCGUGGGUGAAGAAGGUCUUCGGAUUGUAAAGCCCUUUCGGCGGGGACGAUGAUGACGGUACCCGCAGAAGAAGCCCCGGCUAACUUCGUGCCAGCAGCCGCGGUAAUACGAAGGGGGCUAGCGUUGCUCGGAAUGACUGGGCGUAAAGGGCGCGUAGGCGGCGAUCACCGUCAGAUGUGAAAUUCCUGGGCUUAACCUGGGGGCUGCAUUUGAUACGUGGUUGCUUGAGUGCGGAAGAGGGUCGUGGAAUUCCCAGUGUAGAGGUGAAAUUCGUAGAUAUUGGGAAGAACACCGGUGGCGAAGGCGGCGACCUGGUCCGUGACUGACGCUGAGGCGCGAAAGCGUGGGGAGCAAACAG